CGUACCAACCUCAAUCCGGCCCGCAAAUCCCGCGUCUCUCCGGUUUCUUUCCUCCUCUGCCGGCGCGCGUCAUUUUACAUCCGCCGCCGCUCCUGUUCCCAUCUGCGCAGCGCCCCUCCAUCCUCUCCACAUUCACCUGAUCCCCGACACCGACGAGCGCCAGCCCCCGUCCCCGCCACCUCCAGCGUCCUCCUCCCCCUCCUCGGCGUCGUCGACCUCGGCAUGCUCCUCCUCGCCCUCCGCCGCCACCUGCAACGGUGACCUCGGCUUCCGCAUCGUCCUCGACUGAUCGGCGGGGGACGACGAGGACCAGGUCGCACUGCGGCUCCAGACCCAGCUCAUUGUCGCGCUGGCCCCGCCCCACGACGCCGUCUCCGUCGACCUGACCCGAUGAGCUCCGUGACUGGCAUCUCCCUCAGUGGAUCUGCGUCAUCCUCAGCAAGGGGAAGGAGGACCCAGCACUUCCCAUGGGGACGAGUCAUUUUCUUAGGAGAAGCAGAUGAAAGAAGGAAUCGGGGGAAGGGAGGCGGCGGCGCACAUGAAGGCAAUACGAUUAAUUGGAAUCCACAGCCAAGAUUUGGGAGUUGCGGGCUAAAUUUUGCAAAUACAUCACAACCUUGACCAUAAAAAAGGAUCUGCAUAUAAAUGAGCAGCAGCAGCAGCUCAUCAUUACUUUUUGGUUUCCCGUUCCCAUCAAUCAAGCACAUUGUCACUUUUCCAGCAUUAAGGCAUGGAGUAUGGCAAUGGAUGGCACCUUGCUGGAUAAUUUCCACAGGUACCUUAACAUCACCAAACAGCAAUGCCCAUGAGCUAUGAGAAGGAUUGCAAAGGAAGUCUCCUAAAACGAUAACCUGCAUCAAAUUUACAAGAAAACGCUGAUUCUGGAGAAACCUCAUGAAUGUGGAACCAUUGGUUUUCAGUCGGUGUCAUAGAAGCUGGAUGCAGAAUUCCCACAAGUUGAUCAUCCUCCAACCAUGUGUCUGAUUAUCAAGGAAUACAGGCAAAAGCUACCAUUUUAGGAAAGAUUUCCACUAUCUCUCAGCCAUUUAUGGGAUCUUAGCAAUGAAAGAAUUUGAAUACAUGGUGUUUACAAGCAUAUAAGAUUACUUUACCUGAAUUUUUUAAUACAUCGAUAGCACUGGGAUAUGGGUGGGUUCCAGUUUCUUUGGUAUGAUCUCCACUAAACUCCUGUACAUUGAAGAUAUCCUCAAGAUUCCCACAACUGUCUGGCUCCCCAUUCUGAAUGCCAGGGAAAACAACAUGCUCAUUAUUUGUUGGAACUUGCUCAGCUAUAAUAUAUGAAUCUUCUUUGUCUUCCAGACUCAGCUGCAUUUCAAGUUUCCGCAAGGCUGCCUUAUGUUGAAUCAAAUCAAAUCAAAUUUUGCCACCAAUUUUGUACCACUGAGUUUUCCGUUCAUGUGAGAUAAUGACAAUUGUUCCAUUUCUGCAGAUACACAUGGAGGCCCAAAUCAUAAAGGCUGCAGUCUGGUGAUACAUUAAACUACAUAUUACACAUGUUUAGAGAUGCGAUUGUCCAGGCACACAUCAUUUUUUUUUUCAAUUUUCUAUUAUAUGAUUUCUUUCCUGAGAAACUACUUUUGUACAGAUUUGUAAGUGAUGCAUAAUGAUCCUGAGAAUAUUUACUAUGGGCCUCAUGGUUCAUUUUUUCUUCUUCUUUAGCAAUUUCUUUAGCAUUUCAGAUUCAGGCAAUGGAUAUCGGCUCAUGAUUCUUCAUAUUCCAAUUGUUCUUUGCUUAUUUUCUGUGAACUUCUAAUUUUUGUCCUUUUCUUCUCUUUUCUUCCUAUCUUGGUUCUUAUUUUGAACAAAUAUAUUGCAGGCUGUAUGUGAUCAGUACAGGGAAAAGCUCGAGGCAGCACGGUGAGAAGAAAGGGAAGCUAGGGCUGCUCAUGGAGAUAAGAAUAAUGAUUUGAAUAGUCUACGGUCAGUGAUAGGGAAAAUGCACCAAGCAAAUUCGAUUGAAGAAAUUGAUGAGUUGUUAAUUCUUAAUUGCAGCAGCACGAUUAAUUUGUAAGAAGAUGGGUAGAGUCGUCAUGGUGGAAAGAUUGAUUUGUAGGAAGUUUCUGGUUGCUGUCUUUUAUUGAUAAAUGACCAUAAACGAUUGGGAGGUUUUGUGACCUGCAGAGCUGGGCCUUAACAUGUGGUUAACCUUCGAGAGAAGGUACUCAAAUUGGUGACUGGAGGAUUAAUGUUGUUUUCAUCAGGUUGAGAGUUUAUAUCCUAGCGAAUUAGGACCUGAUGCAGUUCCACAGAGGACUUCCUUGAAAGUGGUUUAGUACAACUUGACAAGAGCAUGUAAGAAAGAGUGAAAGCAGCAUCUUCAAGAGGAAAUGUUCUUCGCUAUGUCUGUGAGAUUGGAAGCACAGGGUGCCAGGUAGGCCUUAAAGAGGUCCCAAAAGAUUCUGCGCUUGGUAGAUUGUGAGGAAGUCACAAUGUGGUGGAGAUAUACAGCCGAUGCUACAAGAGCUCCCCUCUGGUGAUCCAAGGGGCGGGGGCUGGCAACGACACCACAGCUGCAGCCGUUCUUGCUGAUAUAAUCGACCUCCAAGACCUGUUCAGGAAGAUGGUAUGAUUAGUGUUCACCCCCAUCUUGUCAGUACCACAGUGUUUGAUAGCUGUACGUAAUAGCCAUCCUUGAGUGGUGGCGUCCUCUGUGGGAUGAGAGGGUUGGUCGAGGAGUUGAGGUCGUAUGGACACUUUUGUUCAUUCAGCUGCUGUACACUGUUGCGAGCAAAUUGGCAAACUGGGACAUGCGAUGCCGAGUUUUUCUGAGAAACAAAUAUUUAUUUGACUGAAACAAGAUCCCGUUUUGUAGAAGCAACCAGACAUGGUGGUGCUGGUUAUACCUGAAA